UGCCUGUGCCCGGGCUGAGGAGACCUUCCUCGACACCCCACGUUAUGUGGGUUUCCGCAAGACCUUCCGCCAUUGCCUGGGCUUUGAAAGCGCUUUAGGAACGAUACGGAAACGGAGGCUUAGAAGUGGAAACUUUACAGAUAUGGAAACUGAGACUUAGAAAAAUGACCCGUCAAAGAGGUGGGAUUUCACCAUGUUGCCGAGACUGGUCUCAAACUCCUGAGCUCAAGUGAUCCUCCUACCUCAGCCUUCCGAGUAGUGGUGACUACGGACACAGGCCAUACACUUCACUGGAUGGAAGACAUUCUCCAGUAGUUUUCUGAAAAAGAGUAUGCAGAAGUUAAAUUUUCUGAGAUCUUGGUUGUCUGAAAAUGUCUUUAUUCUACCUUCCUGCUU
rnacentral:lncRNA from 1 species